rnacentral:rRNA from 1 species
AACGAACGCUGGCGGCAGGCUUAACACAUGCAAGUCGAACGCACCUUUCGGGGUGAGUGGCAGACGGGUGAGUAACGCGUGGGAAUCUACCCUUCUCUACGGGAUAGCUCCGGGAAACUGGAAUUAAUACCGUAUACGUCCUGAGGGAGAAAGAUUUAUCGGGGAAGGAUGAGCCCGCGUUGGAUUAGCUAGUUGGUGGGGUAAAGGCCUACCAAGGCGACGCUCCAUAGCUGGUCAAAGAGGAUGAUCAGCCACAUUGGGACUGAGACACGGCCCAAACUCCUACGGGAGGCAGCAGUGGGGAAUAUUGGACAAUGGGCGCAAGCCUGAUCCAGCCAUGCCGCGUGAGUGAUGAAGGCCCUAGGGUUGUAAAGCUCUUUCAGUGGGGACGAUAAUGACGGUACCCACAGAAGAAGCCCCGGCUAACUUCGUG